rnacentral:rRNA from 1 species
UACGUAGGGGGCAAGCGUUAUCCGGAUUUACUGGGUGUAAAGGGGGCGCAGACGGCGAUGCAAGCCAGGAGUGAAAGCCCGGGGCCCAACCCCGGGACUGCUCUUGGAACUGCGUGGCUGGGGUGCAGGAGGGGCAGGCGGAAUUCCUGGUGUAGCGGUGAAAUGCGUAGAUAUCAGGAGGAACACCGGUGGCGAAGGCGGCCUGCUGGACUGCAACUGACGUUGAGGCCCGAAAGCGUGGGGAGCAAACAGG